CAGUCGUACCUUCGGGUAAUCAGCCUUUCGGGUGCGAUUCUGUGGAGUUUGAGGAGCUUAACACCUUCAUGCUUUUGCAUAUUCGUGCUCUUGGGUGUACUUGCCCGUGUGGUUGGUUAACAUCAAUUUCGGGCACCAUAAAAUGGCUGGAGGAAUGUAGCUUCGAUCUUGUAUCGAAGUGUUAUAGACUCUGGUAGAUGUGACGAUUGGGGAUUGGAGGAUUGCAACGGAUACCCUUCGGGGCUACUCGUCUGAUCUCUGAAGGUUGCUCCGGUGCCGAAAGCGUGCUUACGGUCAUCGAAAGUGAUUUUCAAAAGGUUAGAAC
rnacentral:rRNA from 1 species